rnacentral:rRNA from 1 species
GAUGAACGCUGGCGGCGUGCCUAAUACAUGCAAGUCGAGCGAACAUACUAGGAGCUUGCUCCUCUGACGUUAGCGGCGGACGGUUUAGUAACACGUGGAUAACCUACCUAUAAGACUGUGAUAACUUCGGGAAACCGGAGCUAAUACCGGAUAAUAUAUUUAACCGCAUGGUUCAAUAGUGAAAGACGGUUUUGCUGUCACUUAUAGAUGGAUCCGCGCCGCAUUAGCUAGUUGGUCAGGUAACGGCUUACCAAGGCAACGAUGCGUAGCCGACCUGAGAGGGUGAUCGGCCACACUGGAACUGAGACACGGUCCAGACUCCUACGGGAGGCAGCAGUAGGGAAUCUUCCGCAAUGGGCGAAAGAUUGACGGAGCAAAGCCGCGUGAGUGAUGAAGGUCUUCGGAUCGUAAAACUCUGUUAUUAGGGAAGAACAAAUGUGUAAGUAACUAUGCACGUCUUGACGGUACCUAAUCAGAAAGACACGGCUAACUACGUG